AAGUCGUAACAAGGUAACCGUAGGUGAACCUGCGGUUGGAUCAUUAACAAAUUGAUCAGGCUAGGCUUAACAGCUCUGCCGGUGUUUCUCCUGCGAAAGCGGGUAGGAAACCCAAACCCAUUUGUGAAAUGUAUAGAUGUCUCUGGCGGUGGGGUGUCGAAAAGGUUCUUGUAGCUUUCUCAAUCCCUGUCAGCAUGCUUUUACGCUUGUGGACAAGCCGCCAAUUGCUUCUUAACAACGCUUUUGCUAAGUAUCAUUGUCUAACCUGUUUAUUUUGUAUAAUAUACAAAAACAACUUUUGGCAACGGAUCUCUUGGCUCUC
rnacentral:misc_RNA from 1 species